AUCAGCAUGCCACGGUGAAUACGUUCCCGGGUCUUGUACACACCGCCCGUCACACCAUGGGAGCCGGUAAUACCCGAAGUCAGUAGUCUAACCGCAAGGAGGACGCUGCCGAAGGUAGGAUUGGCGACUGGGGGUGAAGUCGUAACAAGGUAGC
rnacentral:rRNA from 1 species